rnacentral:lncRNA from 1 species
CAGCAAUUUUGAGAGUUGUGCUAUUUUAAAUUCCCAGGCGCCUAAAAUCUUUUGUCUUUAAAACAAUGUCGAUUUCUUGGGAAAUUCCGAGGUUGCGUUUUUUUAUACACCCUGUAUAAAGCGCUUGACCUGUUAGACCUGUUUCGUGUCAGAAUAUUUGUUUACAUUUUGCUUCAAAACACGUUUGCUUUGCUUAACCAAUAAUAGAAUGCGAGUAAUUAGCGAUAGCCAAUGAGAACCGCUUAUUAGACAGGAUGUUCGAAAGUUGUAAAUUUCACACCUGC